GCUUCGGCGUGAGAGUAAAGUGGCGCACGGGUGAGUAACGCGUGGGUAACCUACCCCCCAAACUGGGAUAACUCGCCGAAAGGCGUGCUAAUACCGGAUAUUGUCCCAAGGGCUCUGGCCGUUGGGAUGAAAGGUGGCCUCUUCUUGAAAGCUGCCGUUGAGGGAUGGGCCCGCGUACCAUUAGCUUGUUGGUGGGGUAAUGGCCUACCAAGGCGACGAUGGCUAGCUGGUCUGAGAGGAUGAUCAGCCACACUGGAACUGGAACACGGUCCAGACUCCUACGGGAGGCAGCAGUGAGGAAUUUUGCGCAAUGGGGGAAACCCUGACGCAGCAACGCCGCGUGAGUGAAGAAGGCCUUCGGGUUGUAAAGCUCUGUCAAGUGGGAAAAACGUCCCACGGUCAAUAGCCGUGGGAUCUGAUGGUACCGCUGGAGGAAGCACCGGCUAACUCCGUGCCAGCAGCCGCGGUAAUACGGAGGGUGCAAGCGUUGUUCGGAAUUACUGGGCGUAAAGGGCGUGUAGGUGGUAGGGUAUGUCAGAUGUGAAAGCCCUGGGCUCAACCCAGGAAGUGCAUUUGAAACUACUCUACUUGAGUAUGGGAGAGGAGAGUGGAAUUCCCAGUGUAGAGGUGAAAUUCGUAGAUAUUGGGAGGAACACCCGUGGCGAAGGCGGCUCUCUGGACCAAUACUGACACUGAGACGCGAAAGCGUGGGGAGCAAACAGGAUUAGAUACCCUGGUA
rnacentral:rRNA from 1 species